rnacentral:piRNA from 2 species
UACAAACAGAAGAGAAGCAGGAGGC